CCUACGGGAGGCAGCAGUGAGGAAUAUUGGUCAAUGGGCGGGAGCCUGAACCAGCCAAGUCGCGUGAGGGAAGACGGUCCUACGGAUUGUAAACCUCUUUUGCCGGGGAGCAACGGGGUCCUUGCGAGGACCCGAUGAGAGUACCCGGAGAAAAAGCAUCGGCUAACUCCGUGCCAGCAGCCGCGGUAAUACGGAGGAUGCGAGCGUUAUCCGGAUUUAUUGGGUUUAAAGGGUGCGUAGGCGGACUGUUAAGUCAGCGGUAAAAGCCCGGGGCUCAACCCCGGCGAGCCGUUGAAACUGGCUGUCUUGAGAUGUCGAGAGGUAUGCGGAAUGCGCAGUGUAGCGGUGAAAUGCUUAGAUAUUGCGCAGAACUCCGAUUGCGAAGGCAGCAUACCGGCGGCGAUCUGACGCUGAGGCACGAAAGCGUGGGUAUCGAACAGGAUUAGAUACCCUUGUAGUC
rnacentral:rRNA from 1 species